UCUGAUUAGAUAGUUGGUGGGGUAACGGCCUACCAAGUCAACGAUCAGUAGCCGGUCUGAGAGGAUGAACGGCCACAUUGGGACUGAGAUACGGCCCAGACUCCUACGGGAGGCAGCAGUGGGGAAUAUUGGGCAAUGGGGGAAACCCUGACCCAGCAACGCCGCGUGAAGGAAGAAGGCCUUCGGGUUGUAAACUUCUUUUACCAGGGACGAAGGACGUGACGGUACCUGGAGAAAAAGCAACGGCUAACUACGUGCCAGCAGCCGCGGUAAUACGUAGGUUGCAAGCGUUGUCCGGAUUUACUGGGUGUAAAGGGCGUGUAGGCGGAGCUGCAAGUCAGAUGUGAAAUCCCGGGGCUCAACCCCGGAACUGCAUUUGAAACUGUAGCCCUUGAGUAUCGGAGAGGCAAGCGGAAUUCCUAGUGUAGCGGUGAAAUGCGUAGAUAUUAGGAGGAACACCAGUGGCGAAGGCGGCUUGCUGGACGACAACUGACGCUGAGGCGCGAAAGCGUGGGGAGCAAACAGGAUUAGAUACCCUGGUAGUCCACGCUGUAAACGAUGAAUACUAGGUGUGGGAGG
rnacentral:rRNA from 1 species